GCCGGAAUAGCUCAGUUGGGAGAGCGUUAGACUGACUGACGCAACAAUCAUCUAAAGGCCCCCGGUUCGAUCCCGGGUUCCGGCA
rnacentral:tRNA from 1 species